rnacentral:rRNA from 1 species
GACGAACGCUGGCGGCGUGCUUAACACAUGCAAGUCGAACGGAAAGGCCCUGCUUUUGUGGGGUGCUCGAGUGGCGAACGGGUGAGUAACACGUGAGUAACCUGCCCUUGACUUUGGGAUAACUUCAGGAAACUGGGGCUAAUACCGGAUAGGAGCUCCUGCUGCAUGGUGGGGGUUGGAAAGUUUCGGCGGUUGGGGAUGGACUCGCGGCUUAUCAGCUUGUUGGUGGGGUAGUGGCUUACCAAGGCUUCGACGGGUAGCCGGCCUGAGAGGGUGACCGGCCACAUUGGGACUGAGAUACGGCCCAGACUCCAACGGGAGGCAGCAGGGGGGAAUAUUGCACAAUGGGCGGAAGCGUGAGGCAGCAACGCCGCGUGCGGGAUGACGGCCUUCGGGUUGUAAACCGCUUUCGCCUGUGACGAAGCGUGAGUGACGGUAAUGGGUAAAGAAGCACCGGCUAACUACGUG